UUCCUCUUUCACCCUUAGUGUGUAUAGGGAAAGGGCGAGAGUAGAUCCUAAUGAAACAAAGCGUUUAGAAGUUGAGAAGAUAGCGGAAGUGAAGAAGGGAAGGGAUCCAUUGCAAUUCCAUGGCGGCGUCGUGGUCGUCGUCGUCUUCAAACUGAACGCCGGAGAGAGUCACCGUGGUCACUUGCCGGAGCCAGAGAGAGUCAACAGAACAGAACAAUCUCAUCCCUUUCCUCUCAAUCCAAUUUUCAUUCCUUUGCUCAACUGUGUGUAGCAAGGUCGUAUUUUGUUAGAAGAUGAAACGCAAGCGUGGGCAUAAGAAAGGGAAGGCAAAAGGCACCACUAACCAUGGAAGCAGUAGUGCUAAUGCUAAUUCUAAGGAAGAAGAAACCUCUGGGUUGGAUGAUAAAGAUCACUCUGGAAUGGAAGUUGACACACCUUCUUCGACGGGGACGGAUCAGCAGCAUAAUUACAAUGUUGCCAACAUAAAUCCUGAUGGUUCUGUUGAUAAGGCUGCUAUUGGGCGUGUUAAGGUGAAGCUCAAGACACCUAAAUUACUGGACUCCCAACCCACCUCAUCUGAUGCUCCCACUCCCACACAAAGCGAUACUGAGAGAAUGGAAGAUAGUGCAAAUUUGUUGCCUGAUAUGAAACUCAGUACUCUGUCUAAGAGAGCUGCUAGCAUCAAAAUUAAGUCUUCAUCAAACCACCAGACAUUCUCAGCUUCCACUCAACAUAAUAAUAAGCAGGAAUUGGAUGCUUCCUUAGUGGUUAUAAGGAAGGUAAUGAAAAUGGAUGCAGCUGAACCCUUCAAUGUUCCUGUCAAUCCUGAAGCUCUGGGAAUUCCUGACUAUUUCGAUAUCAUAGACACACCAAUGGAUUUUGGAACUAUAUGCAACAAUCUUGAAAAGAAUGAAAAGUAUAUGAAUUCAGAGGAUGUAUUUAAGGAUGUUCAAUACAUUUGGGACAACUGUUACAAGUAUAACAAUAAGGGUGACUAUAUCUUGGAUCUUAUGAGGCGAGUAAAGAAAAACUUUAUGAAGUACUGGGCUGCAGCUGGGCUAUACAGUGAACAAUCAAAAGGGACCAAGGAGAGGACUUCAGCAGAAGACAUUGCACUGUCUGGUGAUGGAAAAGCAGGGAAGGGUGGUCAAUUGAAGCAGAAGACAAAAAAGCGUCAUGGAAGACACCAUAAACAUGAUUGUUUAUGUGCUAUUUGUGUUCUAAAGCGACGUAGGAAGGAACGGGAAGAGAAUGCUCGAAUUGCUAGAGGCAAUUUUGGAUCUAGUGGUGAUAAGCAUGCUAAUGAGGAAUCAAUACAAGUAGAGAGUCCCGGUGGUGAGGAUUCGUCAUCAAAUAUAGAUGAAUCUAUCGGCACUGAUGGAGAUGUUGAUGAAGAGAAAGGAGAGGUGGCAAAGAUGGAGAUUAGUGAGAAGCAGUGUAGCCCUUCUGAGAGAAAGCAUCCAAGCAUUGAUGUUGAUAAUGAUGAUGACAAUGAUGAUCAUGGCCUAGAGGAAGGGGAGGAGGAGGAGGAGGAGGGGAGGAGGAGGAGGAGGAGGAGGAGGAGGAGAAUGAAGAGGAAGAAGAUGAGGAAGAGAUUGAAAUGAACAGUCAGAAGAGAGAGAUGAAUGAAACUUUAAAACAUGGUGGAACCUUGGCAGAGAAAUCAAAUGUUGGUGAUGCAACCGCUCUACAUGAUGAAUAUAGAACAAAGCAACAAGAAGGACAAGCUGUGGCAGUCCCGCAACAGAAGAAACCCAAGGGGUCACAAGAUAAACAGCAAAAAGGUAAGCUCCUUGAGAGCUUAUAUAGUGAAAACCCCAAGCUUUCAAGUUUAUGUGGAAUUCUCUUCCCCCAAAAUAGUCAGUCUGUCUGGAGUGGACCACACUCACUAAUACGGAAGACAAAUUCUGCUCGGACUAGUUCAAUUCACGCUGCUAUAAGGACUUUCAUGGAGUAGCUUUUUAUCUUUAUCAGUUCACUACACUUCCUAGCAGCCUAUGUCAUUAAUAUUUUAGUUGAUGUCCCUUCGUUAUUAUAUGGUGUAUUAUAGUUCUCAGUUUCUUGAUAACAACAGCAGAUUUUGUAACAGAAGAAUUUGUGCUUCAAACCAGUUCUACUUAAAAAAUUAUGAAAGUAAAAGUAACCUGCCACUUGCCGUCAUAGCUCAAGUGGUCAAGUUUCGUUAGAAACUACUUGAUUUUGCAUUAAGCUACAUAUCAAAAUCCAAUUAUGCUA